rnacentral:sRNA from 1 species
GAGGAGGAGCGUGUGGCUGAGCCUCAACCUAACACCCCUCAAGCUCUACGGUUUGAGGAACUACUGGCCAACCUACUAAAUGAACAACAUCAGAUAGCGAAGGAACUAUUUGAACAGCUGAAGAUGAAGAAAUCUUCAGCCAAACAGCAGAAGGAGGUAGAGAAGGUUAAACCCCAGUGUAAGGAAGUUCAUCAGACCCUGAUUCUGGACCCAGCACAGAGGAAGAGACUCCAGCAGCAGAUGCAGCAGCAUGUUCAGCUCUUGACGCAAAUCCACCUUCUUGCCACCUGCAACCCCAAUCUCAAUCCGGAGGCCAGUAGCACCAGGAUAUGUCUUAUCUUCCUUGUGUCCUGUUUUCCCAGAAAGAG